rnacentral:rRNA from 1 species
AUUGAACGCUGGCGGCAGGCCUAACACAUGCAAGUCGAACGAGUGGCGGACGGGUGAGUAAUGUUUGGGAACCUCCCUUAUGGCGGGGGAUAACUACUGGAAACGGUAGCUAAUACCGCAUACCAUCAGAUGUGCCCACUUGGGAUUAGGUAGUUGGUGUGGUAAAGGCUCACCAGGCCGACCAUCCCUAGCCGGUCUGAGAGGAUGACCAGCCACACUGGGACUGAGACACGGUCCAGACUCCUACGGGAGGCAGCAGUGGGAAAUAUUGCGCAAUGGGGGCAACCCUGACGCAGCCAUGCCGCGUGAAUGAAGAAGGCCUUCGGGUUGUAAAGUUCUUUCGGUAGCGAGGCGUUAACUACAGAAGAAGCACCGGCUAACUCCGUGCCAGCAGCCGCGGUAAUUC